GUGAGGCGGAGCUAAUCCCUUUAAAGCCAUUCUCAGUUCGGAUUGUAGGCUGAAACUCGCCUACAUGAAGCUGGAGUUACUAGUAAUCGCAGAUCAGAAUGCUGCGGUGAAUGCGUUCCCGGGUCUUGUACACACCGCCCGUCACACCACGGAAGUUGGGGGCGCCCGAAGCCACUUAGCUAACCCUUUUGGGAAGCGAGUGUCGAAGGUGAAAUCAAUAACUGGGGUGAAGUCGUAACAAGGUAAC
rnacentral:rRNA from 1 species